rnacentral:rRNA from 1 species
AGAGUUUGAUCCUGGCUCAGGACGAACGCUGGCGGCGUGCCUAAUACAUGCAAGUAGGACGCACAGUUUAUACCGUAGCUUGCUACACCAUAGACUGUGAGUUGCGAACGGGUGAGUAACGCGUAGGUAACCUACCUAUUAGAGGGGGAUAACUAUUGGAAACGAUAGCUAAUACCGCAUAACAGUAUGUAACACAUGUUAGAUGCUUGAAAGAUGCAAUUGCAUCGCUAGUAGAUGGACCUGCGUUGUAUUAGCUAGUAGGUAGGGUAAUGGCCUACCUAGGCAACGAUACAUAGCCGACCUGAGAGGGUGAUCGGCCACACUGGGACUGAGACACGGCCCAGACUCCUACGGGAGGCAGCAGUAGGGAAUCUUCGGCAAUGGGGGGAACCCUGACCGAGCAACGCCGCGUGAGUGAAGAAGGUUUUCGGAUCGUAAAGCUCUGUUGUUAAGGAAGAACGAGUGUGAGAAUGGAAAGUUCAUGCUGUGACGGUACUUAACCAGAAAGGGACGGCUAACUACGUGCCAGCAGCCGCGGUAAUACGUAGGUCCCGAGCGUUGUCCGGAUUUAUUGGGCGUAAAGCGAGCGCAGGCGGUUAGAAAAGUCUGAAGUGAAAGGCAGUGGCUCAACCAUUGUAGGCUUUGGAAACUGUUUAACUUGAGUGCAGAAGGGGAGAGUGGAAUUCCAUGUGUAGCGGUGAAAUGCGUAGAUAUAUGGAGGAACACCGGUGGCGAAAGCGGCUCUCUGGUCUGUAACUGACGCUGAGGCUCGAAAGCGUGGGGAGCGAACAGGAUUAGAUACCCUGGUAGUCCACGCCGUAAACGAUGAGUGCUAGGUGUUAGGUCCUUUCCGGGACUUAGUGCCGCAGCUAACGCAUUAAGCACUCCGCCUGGGGAGUACGACCGCAAGGUUGAAACUCAAAGGAAUUGACGGGGGCCCGCACAAGCGGUGGAGCAUGUGGUUUAAUUCGAAGCAACGCGAAGAACCUUACCAGGUCUUGACAUCCCAGUGACUGCCCUAGAGAUAGGGUUUCCCUUCGGGGCACUGGUGACAGGUGGUGCAUGGUUGUCGUCAGCUCGUGUCGUGAGAUGUUGGGU